CAGCCGCCGCGGUAAUACGUAGGUGGCAAGCGUUGUCCGGAAUUAUUGGGCGUAAAGCGCGCGCAGGCGGAUCAGUCAGUCUGUCUUAAAAGUUCGGGGCUUAACCCCGUGAUGGGAUGGAAACUGCUGAUCUAGAGUAUCGGAGAGGAAAGUGGAAUUCCUAGUGUAGCGGUGAAAUGCGUAGAUAUUAGGAAGAACACCAGUGGCGAAGGCGACUUUCUGGACGAAAACUGACGCUGAGGCGCGAAAGCCAGGGGAGCGAACGGGAUUAGAUACCCGCGUAGUCCCUGUCUCUUAUACA
rnacentral:rRNA from 1 species